AAAACAUUUACUCUAUUAUCUUUUUUCCUUUUUCUUUAAAGGAAAAUUGCUUAAUGCAAUUGUCUCAAACUCUGAUGAGAACACAGAAUCAUUAAAAUCUGCUCCCAAAUAGUCCAGGGUAUUUUUUGUAAGAUCAGUACAUAAUUUCUGGAAAAGAGUUAAAAUUGUAUGGCAUUUUCCUAAUAAGUUAAAAGAGAACAUUAUCUAAGCCAGUAUACAUUUGAUGCUAAACUUCAGAUUUAAUAUCCCAUUUUAUGCUGUAAAAUUCUUGACUAGAGCAUUUAGCUAUCUAAAUCCUUCUUGGAUUUCUAAAUUAGUUAGCAAUUUCAAUCUUUUAUUACAGCAACCACAUCCUUCAGUGUCUGCUUUCUAUAUUUUGAUUAUGCAGCUCUAAUCAAACUUGGCAUGAUUGUUGCAGGUUUUUAAAUAUAAGAUCUAAUGGUUUUUUAUGUUCCUUUUUGCUACAAACAUGGGGUACCAGGUUCAUUGUCUCAAAUAUAUGCAUUGCUGUUCUACCAUGUCAAUCUUAAUUCUCUAUCUUCAUAUCUGGGAUCAGCCUAUUGGCAUAUCUACUGGGCUAACACAGAAUCUUUUGGUGCUUUCUGAAACCCUCUGGCAAAGCCUGAAUUUAAAAAAAAAUUCCUAAUUUUGCUGUAUAUUUUUGAACUUUUGUUGCUAGAGAGAAUCACAAACCAAACCCUGGGUCAGAGCAUGCCAGACUCUGUGCAUGUUUAGAUAAGAUAAGGAGAACAUAGCCACCACUAUCCAAUUUCAUUGGUCAAGUCUUUCUCUAUCUUAUACUCUGCAUGGUGCUGUUUUGGCAGUGCUAUUUUUUGUGGCGGGUUUUUUUUUUUUUGUUGUUUUUGUUUUGGUCUGCAAUAUACUUCAGCUCCAUUGACUAAUAUAUUAAUGUAUGUAUCAGAUGUCAUCCUGUAUAUGCAACAUCACUCACGGUGCUGAAUGGACACCCACCUUCACUGUCCUGUAGAAAAAGUGCCAAAUCUUGGCCAUGGUUGAUAUGGUGGUAAAGGGCAUGUAAGUUCCAUGUGUAUCAACUCAGCAAUUGGCUGAACAAUUCUGAGGAUGAUUGAGCCUGUUUUGCAAGUGGAGAGAAGGAGACCACCCCCAGCCUGCAGGGCAGUGCAAAGUCCUACCAGCCUGCAGAGAAACUGCCUUUCAACAUGGCAGAAGGGUUUGUAAGAAUCUGUACUUAUGCUUGCAUCCUGCUAGCAUGUGUCUGAAUACAGGAAAUUGAACAACUUUUAAUUCUUCUCCUAAGGGGAAAACAGGAUGGCAUACAGAAGAGUCAUUGAAAAUCUGAGCUUCCAGUUGCUGCCAAUAAGUACUUUUUCUGCUGUAACAGAGCUACUUUGGAACUGUUUCAAAGAACAGACCUUCAUCUCUGCUGUUCCCAGAAAAGCACCAACUAUGAUAUUAUACCACAAACUGAAGAUUGUUUUUGGCUGUGUGAAAUCUUACCCAAAAUGUAUGAUGAUCUGAAAGAUUAUGAAUAUAAAAUUAUAUUUUAAAUAAUCCUUUAAAAUGAAGUUAAACAGGCCAAUUCACUUCUGACCAACAAAUUGGUCAAUUCCUUCUCUCUUCAGUUUACUCAUUUUGAAAUUGUUAAAGCUUUUGGAGUUGCCACAGUUUGGUUGUUUGAACAAAUUGUAACUUACUUGGUUGCAGAUACACAUCAGUUGUCAGUUUGGCACUGAAUUACUUGCCACCUCAAUGUAAUAUCACUCCACCAGCUCAACUCAAUCAGGAUUAUUAACUAGCAUGUUCCUUUAGCACCAUCAGCAAGGUAUAACCAUCCUGCAAGGUCCCACACCUAAUGUCCAAACUACAAUGACCUAUGAAAAAGUUUGGGAGUCCAAGAUGUCUACUUAACUUAAUCCAUUACAAAAAUACCAAUAUCAUAGACGUAAGCACAGAAUGUAUUGAAUUACCGUCUCAUGCUGCUUGUAUUUUCCAUUAGUGCUGACAAAAUGUGCAUUAUACCACUUCAGUUCCUCUGGUAUUUUGGGCCACUCCUUUGAAAGCAAUGUUUUUGAUACUACCAUUGGACUCUUCGUCUCCUUCCACCAGACUUCAUCCACUUCAUUAUUCCUAGAGAAAAUGUCAGCUGGGGAGAAAGCUAAAAAUCCUCGCUCACUGCCAUUGCUUCCACUGGGCAUACCUCCACUAAUCCCUUCCUUACUAGAGAUAAUAUAUCAGAAGGAAAGGGGAAUUAAAAAAAAUCCCUUUCUUCUCCUGAAAUCUGGUCAUCACAGGCCCUGCCCUCUCAUUAAUGCCGAUCAUUAUGUCAGCGAGUGAGGAGUUGAAGCCCCUUGUCAUGGGAUGACACUGGCCCUUUAAGAAGAACCAGGGCCAGUGCACCUGUGAUCCAUCAGCUUACUCCAACUGGCCUGGAGAGAGUUAGGGACCCAGGAACUCAGAGCUGUGUCAAUGAGGAAAAGGUAGGUGAAAGCAUCCAGAGACUGGGGAAGGUCCCAGAAGGAACUGAAGGAUGAUCCUGGGGGAAGGCUAAAGGCAAGCAGACAGCAAUAGGAGGUUGCUGGGUGACUUCCCCAAGCCAGGGUCACACAGCAGGAGAGCCGGGGAGAGGCUUAUCUGCUGACAUUUCCA